UCAAAAGACAGGUAUUCAUAUUCAAGGCGUUCAGAUUUUCAACUGAUUUCAAAGAUAAAACACCAACAGGGGGCGAAAGAGUGUAUGCAUUGUGGAACCCAUCAUUAGCUUGUGUUUCCCUGGGGAACAUAUAUACUGGUGCACCUUUGUGAUAGCAGGUGGUGAAAUGUUUGGUGGAAAAGCAUUUCACUGGAAGUCCUUCACGGAAGAGGAGACUCUCAUCCAUACACAUUCAGCUCAUUUAGGAUUCUGGACACUCAACCGGUAGGCACAUGGACAUUGUUGUGUAAAAUUGUUGCCAGUUAGGUGUUUAUUUGUGUUGAGAAUUGAGACCAAUUGUCUAAUUUAGUAUAUAGUAUAAUUUAGAUAAUAUGACUACAUUAAGAUUAUAUAUUUAAUUUGAAAUGACCUUACUUGAAGUAAUGUAUAUUUCUUUUUGUGUUUUGCCUUUAAAGGUUAUCAACCUAACUAACUAAUGAACUAAUUAACUAACUAACUGACUACAGAAAUAAAAGAAGUCAGAAGAAAAUUGAGUUGUCCCUUGCGUCCUUCAGUCCUUAAAGGCCUUUUUCAAGUUUGGGCAAAGAGCUGCAGUGUGAACCAUACACAACUUGACAGUUGAUAACCGCGUGGCAGUGAAGACAAAAGGAUUAACGGCCUGAAGUCAGGAAAGCUGUCGUCGCAGAGAGGAAUAUUGACUGACAUCUCAACAUGGCGGAGGAAGCUCUUGGAAUAACAGUGAAGGAGCUGAAGCAAAAAAUAACUUUAGCUAAAAGCACUUUUACCAAGCAGGCAAACUUCCUUAGCAGAGUCGCAAAGCACAUGACUAAAAGAUAACUACAAGAGGAGUUCAAGAAGCUCAAGUCGGAGGCGAGGACGGUCAGUGAGACAAAUGACGAGUACAGGGCUGGCCUUCUGGCAGACAUUGAAGCUGGAACCGAUGAGGGUGAAGAAGCUGAACUGAGCAAGGAGAAGCAGGCUGAACUUGAGAAGACGUUCCAAGAAUGCGAGGCACGAUUGGAUGAGGUCAAGGAGAUGGUCCAGUCCAAUCUAUGGCCUAGAUAUGGCGAAAAUGAGGUGAAGUCUGCAAUCCAUGAAGCCGAGACAUCUGAGCAACUCCAUCACAGGCUACCUGUUACCGCUGUAAACAGAGAUGGCUUUGAGCUACGGUGGGAUAGUGUGAAAACACAAGUCCAAAAUGCAAUCGCAAGCCUAGCAGAGUGGGAGAUGUGGAUUCCGGUGGCAGAAAAGGAAAGGCUCGGAGGGAGAGUGAAGGAUCUGAAGGCAUUCGGCAACAACCUUGAAGCAAGGAGGGCAGGAUUUCUCACAGCACAAAGAAUUGCAGAAGAUGAGAGAGACAGAGGGAGAGUGCUGCAGGUUCCCAUGCCAGCUCCACAACCGACACUGAGGAUAAAGCCAAUCUGUCUACCCAAGUUCAGUGGGUAUAAAAGGAACUUCCAUCGAUGGAGAAGAGACUGGGAGAGUCUGCAAAAGCAGGGGGAACCAACAGGCUCAGUCGAAGUAAAGAGGAUCCAACUCAUUGACAGUAUAGAUGAGAGGAUAUGCAGAGGCCUCCGUUUGUCUUCCUACAACACUGCUGAGGACAUGUUCAGGGUGCUGGAAAACAGAUAUGGAAACAAGUCUACAAUUGCCUUGGAGAUAAUGGAGGAUCUGGAGAAAAUUCCUGCUUUAAGGGCAAAUCAGCCUAGAAAAGUUAUCGACAUGAUCCAAACUAUAGAGAAGGCCCUGGAUGACCUCACGGCGCUUGAAAACACAGGAGCCAUCAACAACCCUCUAGUGAUCAGAUCCAUAGAAAGCAAGUUACCUGACGACAUCAAGAGAGAGUGGCUUGUCUUCAUGGUUAAUCCGAGGAAUAAUGUCACACCAGAUAAUCACUUUGAGAACCUUCUUAAAUUCCUGAAAACACAAGAGGAAAUUCUUGAAAAACUGGAGCAGCUGGGAGUGAGUGAAAGGCCAAAAACGAGAAAUGCUUGCAUGGAGAGGAAAUAUGCAUCCACGCGGUCCACAACGAAAGGAGGCUGUGUUGUGUGUGUGGUGAUGAAAAGCACAGAGAAAAUAUAUUCUUUUGCAAGCGUUUCAAGGAACUGAAGCCGGUGGAAAAGUUGGCUGCUGUAGAAAAGCUCGGGGGCCUGCAAGAGGUGCUUGGUCUGUCAUGGAGAAGAUGAUGAAUGCAAAGAGACAUACCUGUGCAGGAACAGAAACUGUAAAAAAGACCACCAUUUCUUUCUAUGCCUGAAGGGAGACUUCAGGAGGAGUGACUCAGAAAGAAGACAAUUCAAUGUGAGAAGGCAUACGCGGACUGAGGAGCGGGAAGAAUUUGUAUCUAAACUCUCCCCAGAGAUGGCGGACAAAUUCAAGAGAGCGUUCACCAACAUCACCGCAAAGACAAACUGUGGUGAAAAGAUCCAGCUUGGAGAGAUUGUGUCAGGUGCAGUAGAAGAAUUGCCAGUUAUUCUAAUGCUGCUCGAGGUAACUGCCAAUGCAGGACAAAAAAUUGGAACCCUGAUCGACUUGGCAUCAGACACAAAUUAUAUCACCCACAGAGCUGCCAGGAGAUUAAAUCUUCGAAGUGAAAACAUCACUUUAGUCGUCCAUGGAGUUGGGGGGAUGGCCAUGAAGGUUAAAACCAGAAGAUAUCUCCUCAGAGUGAGGGUCAAAAUGCCUAGAGGCACAGAAAGAGCCCAUGAGCUUGUCUGCUAUGGUUUGAAUGAAAUUGCCAACAUCCACAGAGUCAUCAAACCUGAGCAACUCAAGAAGUUCUUCCCAGAAGUCAGUCUAGGAGAUCUGAGGAGACCGGAGAGCAUUGAGCUCUCCGGUCUGAAGGAAGACUUGCUCCGCAAAGAGUGAAGAUGAUUGGAGACCUUGUCUUAUGGGAGAGCCCGCUAGGAAAGAUUGUUGGUGGAGCACAUCCAGAUCUGUUUGAAGAAGUCGAUAUGGUCUGGAACGCACUUUGCUCGAUCCAUGAGAGCAACCGCUGUCAAGUAUCAAGAGAUAAUUAAAACACGAGUUCACAGCUGAAACCAAAAGCACAGUUGCUCGCAGAGAGUUCUUGGAUUGGUGGAAAUGGGAUAGCAUUGGAGCAGCUUGCGAACCGAAGUGUGGAGGAUGCCGGUGCGGCAAUUGUCAACCAGGAGGCAAGGAAAUGACUCUGAGUGAGGAAAGGGAGCUGGAGAUCAUAAGGAAAGGCCUCACGUACAUCAAAGCAGAUGCUCACAGCGAUGAACCGCACUGGGACACAAAAUACCCCUGGAUUCAAGAUCCAAGUUCCCUUCCCUACAACAGGAGUGGGGUUGAAGCCACCUUCUUAAGAACAGAAAAACAACUCAAGAAAGAGCCAGAGUGGAAAAUGGCAUACACAGCUCAAGUGCAUGAAAUGGUGGAGAGAAGAGCAGCAAAGAAACUCACCAAAGAGAUGAUCGCCAGCUGGAAAGGACCAGUAUGGUACGUCAGCCACUUGGUGGCGCCAAACCCACACUGUCACAACACCUGUGCGACUGGUAUGGAACAGCAGCCAGAAGUUUAAAGGGGUCAGCAUGAAUGACCUGCUGCUGAAAAGGCCUGAUGUCCUCAAUCCCAUCCGAGCAGUACUACUCAGGUUCAGAAGAGGUGUCCAUGCUGCUCUUGGCGACAUCAGGAAGAUGUACAAUUCGGUGUGGUUAGAAAACCUGGAGAUGCAUCUCCACAGAUUUCUCUGGAGAAACACUGAGGAGGAAGAGAUUGAAGAGUAUGCCAUCACCAGAGUCAACAUUGGCGAUCGACCAGCAGGGUGCAUUGCACAACUGGCCAUGAGAGAGACAGCAAAACUGCCCAUGUUCGCUCACCUGGAGGAGGAACGUAGGAUCCUUGAAGAGGAUGCCUAUGUCGAUGACAUCCUGACUUCCCAUAAUGACUUACAAAAGCUGGACAAGGACACCAAAGGAGUUGAAGAGAUCCUGAGGACAGGCGGACUUUUCCUCAAACCCUGGGUCCGGUCAGGCCAAAGUGGGAGGCAGGAGAUCGUACCAGGAGAACAAGGAGCGGUGUCAGGCACAGUACUUAUUCUCCCAAACCAGAUGAGGAAAGGAGACAAUAAAGCCCUUGGAGUUGGAUACCUUGUUGAAGAGGACGAACUGUACCUUAUGACUUCAAUCAAUUUCUCAAAGAGGAAAAAGAAGAUGAGAGUCGGACAAAAUCUCCUUGAAGAAGAGGUGAGAGGGAAAACUCCAAACCCACUGACGAGAAGAGAACUGCUAAGCCAAGUAGCUAGCCUGUAUGACCCAAUAGGCCUCGUCACACCUGCCAAACAAAAGGGCGCCAUUCUUGUCAGAAAGGCGUUUCAAGAAGCUGGAGGCAAAACUCUGACCCGAAACACGUGGGACAAACCUCUGUCUGAACAAUUGAGAGAAGAAGCCAUCAAACUGUUUGAGGAGUACACACGUCUUAGCCAAAUCACCUUCCACAGAAGCCUCACACCAGUCAACUGGCUUGGUAAACCUUGGGGAAUAACAUUCUCUGACGGAAGUGAGAAGAGCUAUGGAGCUGUAGUGUACUUCAGAUGGGAAACCGAGCAAGGCAUCCAAGUCAGGUUGGUUGAGUCCAAAGCAAAACUCACACCUUUGGACCAAAAGGGGAGGCAGUGAAAGCUGAAAUCUGCGGUGCUGUCUGCGCAGCACGACUUCCAAAGUACAUUGAAAAACACAGUCAUAUAGAAAUUGAACGAUGGCUCCAUCUGCUGGACAGUCAAACUGUGGUGGGAGCUAUCCAGAGAGACAGUUAUGGGUAUCAAUCUUUCUUCGCGAACAGAGUCGGAGAGAUCCAGAAAUCCACAUCCGUCGAAGACUGGUGGUGGAUCCCGGGAGGCCUGAACAGUGCUGACAUCAUAACAAGAGGGGCAGCCCCGGAAGACCUCCAAGAAGAUUCCAUGUGGCAAAAUGGACCAGCGUUCCUGCGGCAACCCAUGGAAGAGUGGCCACAGAAGUCAGCCAAAGAAAUUGCAGCUUAUGCCAAGGAAGGCAUAAACAAACUUCAAAGGAAAUAUUUCUCUGCAGCACUGACCAGAGCGCAGGCCAAGAGAAACAAGAAUGAUGUACUUCCUGAAGUGGGAGUUCAGAAGGAAAGUCAGAGUGAUGCACAGCAAAGCAGGCAAAAUAACCCAGAUGAACCUAAGACUAAGAUCCGAAGACCACCAGCUGGCUCUGCGGUAACAAAACUGAUUGACAUCAGGAAAUUCAGCAGCCUGACCAGGCUGAUCCGAGUCACUGCCUGGGUUUGGAGAGCUGCAACGAAAUGGAAAGAAGUGUUGACCAGGAAUUCAGCCUCAGAUAAACCAAAGUGGGAGGAAAUUCUUUCAACAAACUGGAAGUCCAGAGGCAAACAAGCUGUACUCACUGUUGGGGAGUGUGAAGAUGCACUAAGAGACCUGUUCCUUGCAGCACAAGAAGGUAUAACCUUUCAAGGCACCACUCUCAACAGACUCGCUGUUUACAGAGAUGAAGAGACUGGGCUCUUGGUUUGUGGAGGGAGGUUCAAGAUCUUUGAUGAGGAUGAGACUGCUGUACCAAUUCUACCAUAUGAGGCAUGGAUAUCCACUCUCCUAGCCCAAGAGGCCCAUGAUGCAAACCAUAAAGAAAUAGCAGGUACACUCCUCCGGAUGAGGAAGAAGGCCUGGGUGAUAAAAGGCCGGAAGCUGGCUAAAAAGAGAGUUGACAACUGUGUGGUGUGCAGAAAGGCUAGGGCCAGAAAGUGCCAACAAAUCAUGAGUGACCUUCCACCCGAGCGUAUAACACCAGCCAGACCAUUUGAGUACACAACAGUGGACUUAUUUGGACCAUAUGAAGUCAAGGACGAGGUGAGAAAGAAAGUCAAGCUCAAGGUGUGGGGAAUUGUCUUCUGCUGUAUGGCAUCCAGAGCUAUACACACAGAUGUUGUCAGUGACCAGUCAACUGAAGGCUUCUUACUGGCCUACCAAAGAUUCACGGCACUGAGAGGGCAUCCAAAGAAACUGUGGUCAGAUCCUGGAAAGAACUUUGUGGGUGCCAGACCUGCCCUCAAAGAGCUCUACCACUUCCUGGAUCAACAAAUUACAUCUGAGCUUGAAAAUGAAGCUUCAAAGCAUGGAACAGAGUGGAGCUGGAAGAUCCACCCAGCAGACUCCCCUCACAGGAAUGGUGCUGCAGAAGCAGCUGUUCGCACUGUGAAGCGGGCCUUGCACAAUAUGAGAGGCGAAGGACUCUUCACAUGGAGUGAGUUUCAAACAUUUAUGUUCAUGGCUGCUAACCUUGCCAAUGAAAGGCCCAUAGAUGCCAGGACUCAGAGCCGGGAGGACUGCAUAGAAUACAUCAGCCCUAAUUCUCUUCAGCUUGGAAGGACUGGACCUAGGGGAGACUUAGGAAGCUUUGAGUUUGAAGACUACUCCUACAAAAGGUUAAGAGUCAUUCAAGCAGAAGUUAACUGGUUCUGGAGGAAGUGGAGUCAGUUGGCUGGACCUAACCUGUUUGUGAGGAGUAAGUGGCACACAAAGCAGCGAAACGUGGCCGUUGGAGACGUCGUCUGGCUUGCAGACCAGAACGCUUUGAGGAGUCAGUAUAAGCUUGGUAGGGUCGUCAAUGUCAACGCUGACAAGGAGGGCAUUGUGAGAGAUGCAAAUAUACGAACCUUCCCAAGUUAUCCCAUCUCAACUUUGAAGCAUGUUUGUGGAGACAAAGCAAAGAAACGUUCAACCAAAAUCCCUGCUACAAUUCUUCACAGGGACGUCAGGCGUUUGGUUGUGUUAUUACCUGUAGAAGAGCAGAAGUAAAGCGAUCGAAGAUGGAGCCGAUGUGACCUCCUUGGGUUCAAGAACCAGGAGAUCAAGUGGGAGGUGUUGCGUCAAAAGACAGGUAUUCAUAUUCAAGGCGUUCAGAUUUUCAACUGAUUUCAAAGAUAAAACACCAACAGGGGGCGAAAGAGUGUAUGCAUUGUGGAACCCAUCAUUAGCUUGUGUUUCCCUGGGGAACAUAUAUACUGGUGCACCUUUGUGAUAGCAGGUGGUGAAAUGUUUGGUGGAAAAGCAUUUCACUGGAAGUCCUUCACGGAAGAGGAGACUCAUCCAUACACAUUCAGCUCAUUUAGGAUUCUGGACACUCAACCGUCUGAGGACAGAGCCCAGUUUGAGAUCCUCAAGUCCCAGAUGUACGCCGAGUGAGCAGCCAAGAGGGACCGCACACCUAAACGAGCCAGGGCCAUGCCAGAGGAUGAGCCUGUCCAGAAAGGCCCAUCCCUCCCCCGUGUCAUCGAUGGCCAGCCAGCGUAUACGGUGAGACGCCUCCUGAGGGUUCGACCACGGGGCAGGGGUUUCCAGUACCUGGUUGACUGGGAGGGUUGCUGUCACUUCCUGAUCUGUUUCACCUGUCCUUGUGAUUGUCUCUACCCCCUCUAGGUGUCGCUUAUUUUCCCUGGUGUAUGUAUCCCUGUGUUUCCUGUCUCUCUGUGCCAGUUCGUCUUGUCAAGUCAACCAGUGUUUUGACCAUUGCCUGCCCUGACUCUGUACCCGUAUGCUUGACUAUUCUGCCUGCCCUGACCUCGAGCCUGCCUGCCUGCCUGGACUAUGACCUUGUUAUGAACUUUUUACCUGUACACGACCAUUAUCUUGCCUGCCCCUUGGAUCCUAAUAAAUAUCAGAGACUCGAA